ACGCUCGACACCUACGAGAGGCAGCAGUUAGGAAUAUUGGGCAAUGGAGGAAACUCUGACCCAGCAACGCCGCGUGAAGGAAGAAGGUUUUCGGAUUGUAAACUUCUGAUCUAGGGGAAGAAGGAAGUGACGGUACCCUAGGAGAAAGCCACGGCUAACUACGUGCCAGCAGCCGCGGUAAUCUGAGCGGGCUGGCAAGGC
rnacentral:rRNA from 1 species